CACAGCUCUGAAACACCUCAUCGUGUAGGUGGGGAACUUGUCAUAGGAACUCAGAUGGUAGGACCCGUUGGCUGGUUACUGCUAGCCCUUGCCAGCUUUGUCCUCACUGGCUGCCAACACCCCCGCCCCCGGGGCCCUGCUACAGACACCAGGUACUCCUAUUUAGAGCUGGUCAUGGAUAAGGAAAAGGCAGAUUUGGCCACAGGAUCUCAAAACAUAGAUCCACUUUAUGUAGAAAAAUCUCUUGAACCUAUCAGGAGUACCAGGAACACAUACAGAAGAAGAGGAAGAAAGUUCUCCCAAGUUUGACUCAGAAAACUUCUGAAAGAAUUCCCUACAUAUGCUGCCUCUGCUGAUUUCCUCCUGGAUUCUCAACAAAACUGAGGCCGAUCUCUAUACCUUAUCACAUAACCACGGGACUGGAAAUGCUUCCUCAGAGGAAGUAUCCUAGGAUAGAACCUUACCGACGCUGUGAUGGGAAUCAAGUUGUGAAUGUUACGAAGGUUGUCACAGCUUGCAGCUUCAAGCUUCUUCAGAAUACAGUCGGGCACAUUUGGCACAGCUGCUGGAGGAGCCUCACUGGACUUUCUGCCCUGAAGAAAUCGCUCCUGAGCUGUGUGGCUGGGCUCAGGGCCUUAGACUCUGCAGCUGGGGUCUCUAGGUGGGAUUCAGGCACGUGCCCGGAGGCACCCAGGCCCAGGUUAGCAGCGGUCUUUGAAGUGUUUGUUAGUCUAUGAACCUUUCCAAUACCCACUUGCUCAGUGGCUCACUGUUCCAGAGACUGCACCACAUCCUGGCUAUGUGAUGUGAAUGUCUGAUUUAUGCCUUCCAGGGCAAACAAUCAAGUCAGAGGAAGAGGCAGAGAGAUUCUAACAUGAAUAUAAAGGUCGAAGUCCAUGGGAGGUGGGGAGGCAGAGGGAGGAUGAUCACUCCAUCUAGGACUUGGGGAAAGGUGCAAUUUGGUAGAUGGAAGGACCGACAGGCAUCUACCAGGCUUGAGAGAAGGUCCACUCAUCCUCUCUUUCUCCUUCUUCAGAAUUUCCUCUGGCUUGUGGGGCCUACCUCCUUUUACUGAGGUUGGGUUGAGAAGGAUGGGGCUGUGCUCCUCCUGAGUGUGAGCAGGUCCAGAAACCUGGUCCUUAGGCAAAUGUCUAGCUCUUUCUUCCCUUACAUGAGGCCUGAGCUGCUUCCCCUUGGGAGGAGGUGUGGCAUUGCUCCCUCUCUUUGGCCUGGAGCAGGUAGCCUCAUCUGGCUGUUCCCUGGGAAUCUGGUACAUUUGCUUUCCACAGUGCCCUUCCCAAACUGGCCUUGGUUCACAUACGGGUAAUCCAGGAUCUAGCUAUGGGUUGGGAAGGAGUCAGGCUGUGUAGCCAUUGGCUGCUUUAGUUCUAAGUUUCAGGUUUUUCAGCUAGAUGGAGUUCUCUCCACUGGCUCCAACGAGGGCUGGGAAGACAAAAUCUAAUAAAAUAAAGCCUGUCUCUUUGCACAGCCUUCUGUCUAUGAAUAUCAGCAUGCUGUAAGUCUUAUAGCCUACUUAGCAAACCAUUCUUUCUUCUUUUAUAUAGUAUGCCAUUUCAAAGAAAAUGUGUAUUUGUUUGUAGUGUUUAAUGCAAAUUUUAAAAUUUUUAGACAGCCAGAAAAUUGAUUAGAUAGGCAUGAACUUCAGUGCUUUAUUGGAUGGCUAAUGGUUAUGAAGCUGUUAAAGGAUCUUCAAAUGCUUUUGUUUUCUGUUCUGACUCUGUAUCAAUUCUUUUGAAUAGCAAUUAGGUGACAAUUAAAGAAUCCUAAUGGGAAGAGAUCUCUCAAAUGUCCG
ensembl:lincRNA